GGACUACUGGGGUAUCUAAUCCCGUUCGCUCCCCUGGCUUUCGCGCCUCAGCGUCAGGAGGUGUCCAGCACGCCGCUUUCGCCGCCGGCGUUCCUUCCGAUCUCUACGCAUUUCACCGCUCCACCGGAAGUUCCGCAUGCCCCUACACCGCUCGAGGCGUCCGGUCUCCGCAGCACUGCCCCGGUUGGGCCGGGGGAUUUCACCGCGGACGGGGACGCCCGCCUACGCGCCCUUUAAGCCCAGUGAUUCCGAACAACGUUCGCACGGUUCGUCUUACCGCGGCGGCUGGCAC
rnacentral:rRNA from 3 species